rnacentral:rRNA from 1 species
UUUUGCCGGCGAGCGGCGGACGGGUGAGUAAUGCCUGGGGAUCUGCCCAGUCGAGGGGGAUAACUACUGGAAACGGUAGCUAAUACCGCAUACGCCCUACGGGGGAAAGCAGGGGACCUUCGGGCCUUGCGCGAUUGGAUGAACCCAGGUGGGAUUAGCUAGUUGGUGAGGUAAUGGCUCACCAAGGCGACGAUCCCUAGCUGGUCUGAGAGGAUGAUCAGCCACACUGGAACUGAGACACGGUCCAGACUCCUACGGGAGGCAGCAGUGGGGAAUAUUGCACAAUGGGGGAAACCCUGAUGCAGCCAUGCCGCGUGUGUGAAGAAGGCCUUCGGGUUGUAAAGCACUUUCAGCGAGGAGGAAAGGUUGGUAGCUAAUAACUGCCAGCUGUGACGUUACUCGCAGAAGAAGCACCGGCUAACUCCGUGCCAGCAGCCGCGGUAGUACGGAGGGUGCAAGCGUUAAUCGGAAUUACUGGGCGUAAAGCGCACGCAGGCGGUUGGAUAAGUUAAAUGUGAAAGCCCCGGGCUCAACCUGGGAAUUGCAUUUAAAACUGUCCAGCUAGAGUCCUUGUUAGAGGGGGGUAGAAUUCCAGGUGUACCGGUGAAAUGCGUUAAGAAUCUGGAGGAAUACCGGU